GCUUUCAACAUCCCCGUCCAAUUCGCUCACCGCGAUGUUUGGACUGAAGGC
rnacentral:sRNA from 1 species